rnacentral:lncRNA from 1 species
AUCAUGAACUUAUUAGUUGUUAUCAUAUAUUUUUUGAGAGAAAACUAGUAUAUUAUUCGUUUCACUUAAAUCUUUUAAAAAAUAAAUUUAGCUGGGAAUACAAACCAAUUAGGUUUCAAAUUUGAGACUUUGUGUAUCAACUAUUAAAUCCUUUGACUGACCAUCUCUAGCACAACUGGCAAAGAACUUGGCAGUUGGUACCCGAGAUUUUAAGUUAAAAUUCAAGUUGAUUCACAUUUCUAACUAAGUUUAUUUUUAAAUUAAAUAAACGAAGCGAGUAAUAUGCUACCUAUCUCUCUAAAAAAAAAAACUAUUAAAUCCUUUGUCUCUUGCAUUAGGAUGGUUGGUCACGUGUAGUUGUUAUUGG